UACGUAGGGGGCAAGCGUUGUCCGGAAUCAUUGGGCGUAAAGCGCGUGUAGGCGGCCCGAUAAGUCCGCUGUGAAAGUCCAGGGCUCAACCCUCGGAUGCCGGUGGAUACUGUCGGGCUUGAGUACGGAAGAGGCGAGUGGAAUUCCUGGUGUAGCGGUGAAAUGCGCAGAUAUCAGGAGGAACACCAAUUGCGAAGGCAGCUCGCUGGGACGUUACUGACGCUGAGACGCGAAAGCGUGGGGAGCAAACAGG
rnacentral:rRNA from 1 species